AUGGCCCUACGGGGGCAGCAGUGGGGAAUAUUGGGCAAUGGGCGCAAGCCUGACCCAGCAACGCCGCGUGAAGGAAGAAGGCUUUCGGGUUGUAAACUUCUUUUCUCAGGGACGAAGAAAGUGACGGUACCUGAGGAAUAAGCCACGGCUAACUACGUGCCAGCAGCCGCGGUAAUACGUAGGUGGCAAGCGUUAUCCGGAUUUAUUGGGUGUAAAGGGCGUGUAGGCGGGAGCGCAAGUCAGAUGUGAAAACUCAGGGCUCAACCCUGAGCCCGCAUUUGAAACUGUGUUUCUUGAGUGCUGGG
rnacentral:rRNA from 1 species